rnacentral:lncRNA from 1 species
UUCCAUACCAAAUAAUAUAGGCAGUUGCAACAUCCAUGAAGAGUUGUUAAUUGGACCACAAGGCAUCUGCAGUGUCAAAUCUACAGAGACAAGUGCACCUGGAGACAAAUGACCAGACUACCAUAAAACAGAAGCUUAAUUAUGUUCACUUACAUUUUCAAAUUAUUCCCAACAAAUUACCCUGUUUUUCCAGGUAGAAGAAGCAGAGUGGAGAGAGGACAUUCCAAAUAAAAUGAAUGCUGAUCCUGCAUUGAGUGCAAGCAAAAAACUGUCAAGUUUUCCCUGGAUCUUUGGGCUUUCAUUUCUGAAGUCUCCUGUGUCACGUAAAACUUUGUUAAAUAAAUUUGUUAUGCUUUU